CGGACACUGGCUGCCCGGUCCCGAAUCCCCAAGGGCGACGUUUCUAUUUGGGAUCCACAACAGGUGCCUGAGAAACAAAGCCGCAGAUCGCUCCACCGCCGUGCGCAAGCCCCUGCUGAGGGGCCAGCGGCUCUCCCUCGGACCCAAGAACCUUAACACAAUUCCGAGGUGAAGGAAAUGGGGAGCACCAGGCCCGGCCUCAUGGAGACCUGGGAGUCAGAACCUGAGAUCUGGAAUCAGCCAUUUCUCCAACAAGUUUGUGAUUGAUGGUUUCCAUGGGUGUCCUGCCUGCAUCCCUUCCACCUGGCCAAUGGACUCACAUACAGGCUACUGUGAGUGUUGGGUGCUAAUGGCUCAUAGCCACCCUCUCCUUCAGGGACUCCCCUAGCCUAAAGCUUCCUCACACUCCCAACCCUAGCAGCCCAUAACCAAUGACUGAUGGAGGUGAGGGACAAAAGGCUUGCUUCAAGUUGAGACCAAGUCUAAAGUACAAUUCAUGUGCCAGAGUUCAAUAUUCAGAAGUGGAAUUGUUGGCUCAUAUGAUAAUGCUAUUUUUUAAUUUUUGAAGACCUACCAUACAGUUUUCUAUAGCAGUUGAACCAUUUUACAUUCCUACCAAGAGUGCACAAGGGUGUGUAAACUUAAUUUUAACACCAUAUUAGCUUAGGUAUCUGCUUUGGUUUGAAUGUUGCAUCCCACUCAAAAUUCAUGUGUUGAAAUUUAAUCCCCAAUGUGACAGUAUUAAGAGGAGGGGCUUUUUGGAAGUGAUUAAGUCAUGGGGGUUCACCGUCAUGAAUGGGUUAAUGCCACUAGAGAAAAAAAGGCUUCAAAGAGCUCCCUUGCUCUCUCUUGCUGUCUUUGCCUUCUGCCUUCCACCAGGUGAGGAUGCAGAAACAAGGUGUCAUCAAUGAGGAACGACACCUCACCAAAUACCAAACCUGCCUAUGCCUUGGUCUUGAACUGUCUAGGUUCCAGAACAGUGAGAAAAUAAAUUUCUAUUAUUUAUAAAUUACCCAGUCUCAGGUAUUCUGUUAUAGCAACACAGAUGGACUAAAACAGUAUCUGAUCCUCAUCAAUCUUAGUAAUACUGAGCUGCAUGUAAGAAAGGUCAAUGUAGAGUAGCUAGUGGUAUUCCCCAGCAUCAGAGUUAAUUAUCUACUUUACCAAUUGAUAAUUGAAUAGGAUGUAUGGAGGCUGCAGCAUGGGCUUGAUAGUAUUAGACCAAAGUGGACUUGCCAAUACGUUGGUACCCUAGGGUGGCCAACACACAUAAUGCAGGCUGUCAGCAGACUCUCAAAGAUGUAAAGCUACUCCCUGGGAAUGAGUCACACUGGGAUGAUGAAUAAUCCCUCCAGUCAAAUGGAAUCUACAUUAUUCUCCCUGGAAGUUCUCACCCAAUUCUCUAAGCACUGUCAGAGAUAGAGACUAAAUAAACAUAGGAUAAACACAGAAGACAAUAGACUGCAAGGAUGAGAGAUGUCUGCUUCUAUCAGACCUUAUGAACUUAGGCCAAUCACUUACUCACUGAGAUUUAGUUUUGUCAAACUAGAUCAAUAAUAUAUGCCAUACCCAACACACAGGGUGUCUGUUCAGACUAAAUGAGAUCAUGAAUAUGAGCAUUCUUUGAAAGCAUGAGGUGCUACUUAACUACAAAGUACUACUCCAAAGCUAUAAUUUUCCUGAAACAUUACUGUCAUUUCCAGAACUGAAUUCUCCUCUCCCAAAGCACAAACUAAGUUUUGUUCAAUUUCCAUAGAUUGAUUUUUUUUGAGUCACACUCAUCAGUUCACAACUAAAAUAAUAAAGAGAGAGAGAGAGACAAUAUUGAGAGAAAUCAGACCCUUAUCACUUACUUGGAGGUGGUUUAGAAGAGUAAAACAAAGGUGACGUUCGGAAAAAUUAAGAAGUAGUCUUAGGAAAAAGGGUUCAAAGAGACAGAACCAUGAGCCUAGAAAAGAAACAAUUUAUUGAUUUUCAAGUACAAUUAACUUGCUGCUAAUUAGAACUACUUAAUGGUAGGAGAUUGUAUCACUAAAAGUACUGAAGCAGAGAGGAAUCUAGCAUUAUGAAAACUGUUAAGUCAAGUAAGCUCUAAGAGUCCCUCAAGCCUUACUAUUCUUUGAUUCACAAAGAUUGAUAAUGACACGGUAGCAGGUGGCUAUGCUUCAUCCUCUCCACAAUAAGAAAUGGUCUUAAAUUGUAAGCCAUGGGAUUUAGGGCAAAAAUCAAGGAGUUGUUUCAGGCAGAGAUGGCUGUUAAAUUCCAAACAGAAUUCUGAGGUAAGCUAUGGCUGUGUCCUUUAAAAUAAAGGAAGCUAUACCCAUCUUACCAGAGCAAUUUAAGGAUUACUCUGGUUAGAGGUGAAAUAAUAAACUAGACCAUCUUUGAAGGGGCUUUCUUUUCAGUCCUUUGAUCUAUAGUUGUCCAUGAAAAUUUUCAAAGUAUAAAUGACUAUCCAAAUGUUUUCUUUAUGUUUCCUUGGUUUGGAGCUUAAAGAAUUUUUUUUUAAGACAACAGGUUGUCAUUACAUACAAGAAAGACAUAAAAAGAAUGGCAAGAGGUCUUGCUUCAGUCAAAAUACUGACCUCAAAAAAGAAUCAUGAGUUAUAAAGACAUGCUUAUUUUUCUCUAAGCAGAACACAUGAAUCCCUUUACCAAGUUAAUCUUGGUUUCAUGAGUUGUUUAUAGAGAAUAAACUGUUCAUUCAAUACAGUCUACCUACCUUGCACAUUCCUGUGCACCUGUGCAUUAAUUAUUCCUAUACCUUACUAUAAUUUAUUAUAGCAAGCCUAUAAUAAAUGAAAAAAAAUUUUUUUUUUGAGAUGGACUCUCGCUCUGUC